rnacentral:rRNA from 1 species
UCGGGAAUUUUGCUCAAUGGGCGAAAGCCUGAAGCAGCAACGCCGCGUGAGGGAUGACGGCCUUCGGGUUGUAAACCUCUUUUUUCAGGGACGAUGAUGACGGUACCUGGAGAAUAAGUCACGGCUAACUACGUGCCAGCAGCCGCGGUAAUACGUAGGUGACAAGCGUUGUCCGGAUUUACUGGGCGUAAAGAGCGCGCAGGCGGUCGUACGAGUCGAGUGUGAAAGCCCCCGGCUCAACUGGGGAGGGUCGCUCGAUACUGUUCGACUCGAAGGCGGGAGAGGGAAGCAGAAUUCCCGGUGUAGUGGUGAAAUGCGUAGAUAUCGGGAGGAAUACCAGUGGCGAAGGCGGCUUCCUGGCCCGUUCUUGACGCUGAGGCGCGAAAGCUAGGGGAGCAAACG